rnacentral:lncRNA from 1 species
ACCUCUUCGAGGUCGAGUACGCCGGUUACGACUAGGGGGUGCUCUCGGGUCGUGACAAACUUGGUAUCAGAGCAUAAGUUUCUGGGAUGGUCUUAGGUUGUCUCAUAACAACAUCUAGUAGAGUCUUGUUCAUAAUGUGAAGCGCGCCACAUUAUGAAUAGGAGGCUAUUGGGUGCUAAGAAAGUUUCACUUCUUCAUUCUUCUAGUCGUGCCAUGGAGUUUCUCUCUAUAAUGUCUUCCCUUGUUCCGUAUGUGAUGGUAAUUUGGGUGUAACUUUUGAGGAAGUUUUAAUGUUGCAAGGGUUGAGGAAGAGAGAAUGUUGGUUGUGAUGCCAACUAUGACUUGUUGAC